AUUGAACGCUGGCGGCAGGCCUAACACAUGCAAGUCGAACGAGUGGCGGACGGGUGAGUAAUGUCUGGGAAAAUGCCUGAUGGAGGGGGAUAACUACUGGAAACGGUAGCUAAUACCGCAUACAAUCAAAGGUGCCCAGAUGGGAUUGGCUAGUUGGUGGGGUAACGGCUCACAAAGGCGACGAUCCCUAGCUGUUCUGAGAGGAUGAACAGCCAAACUGGAACUGAGACACGGUCCAGACUCCUACGGGAGGCAGCAGUGGGGAAUAUUGGACAAUGGGCGAAAGCCUGAUGCAGCCAGGCCGCGGGUAUGAAGAAGGCCUUCGGGUUGUAAAGUACUUUCAGCAGGGAAGCGUUACCCGCAGAAGAAGCACCGGCUAACUCCGGGCCAGCAGCCGCGGUAAUUC
rnacentral:rRNA from 1 species